rnacentral:lncRNA from 1 species
CGUAUGCAUCUAGGUCGUCUACAACAACUUCUAGAUGAUUCCCUGUCGUGCUCAGAAAUUAAGUAGACGCAUUCUUGAGGGCUUCGAAAGGAUCCUCCAAGUUCUAGACCAGGACAUCGUUUCAUGACAAAAAAAUAUCUGAAUAUUAGAAUUGCCUAAAUUUAAUUUUCUGAAAGUACUGUAAAGUCAAAGUAGUCAUCUACUGGUAAGAGAGAACACUCAAAGAUUUCAAGAUGUGAAAGCUCGAGUGUGAGAGGUUUGUGAGAGAGGGAAGAGGCUGAGUGAG